rnacentral:rRNA from 1 species
CCUACGGGAGGCAGCAGUGAGGAAUAUUGGUCAAUGGACGAGAGUCUGAACCAGCCAAGUCGCGUGAAGGAUGACUGCCCUAUGGGUUGUAAACUUCUUUUAUAUGGGAAUAAAAUGUUCCACGUGUGUGAUUUUGUAUGUACCAUAUGAAUAAGGAUCGGCUAACUCCGUGCCAGCAGCCGCGGUAAUACGGAGGAUCCGAGCGUUAUCCGGAUUUAUUGGGUUUAAAGGGAGCGUAGGUGGAUUGUUAAGUCAGUUGUGAAAGUUUGCGGCUCAACCGUAAAAUUGCAGUUGAAACUGGCAGUCUUGAGUAGAGUAGCGGUAGGCGGAAUUCGUGGUGUAGCGGUGAAAUGCUUAGAUAUCACGAAGAACUCCGAUUGCGAAGGCAGCUCACUGGACUACAACUGACACUGAGGCUCGAAAGUGUGGGUAGCAAACAGGAUUAGGUACCCCAGUAGUC